GACGAACGCUGGCGGCGUGCUUAACACAUGCAAGUCGAACGAAGAGCGAUGGAAGCUUGCUUCUAUCAAUCUUAGUGGCGAACGGGUGAGUAACGCGUAAUCAACCUGCCCUUCAGAGGGGGACAACAGUUGGAAACGACUGCUAAUACCGCAUACGAUCUAAUCUCGGCAUCGAGGAUAGAUGAAAGGUGGCCUCUACAUGUAAGCUAUCACUGAAGGAGGGGAUUGCGUCUGAUUAGCUAGUUGGAGGGGUAACGGCCCACCAAGGCGAUGAUCAGUAGCCGGGCUGAGAGGAUGAACGGCCACAUUGGGACUGGGACACGGCCCAGACUCCUACGGGAGGCAGCAGUGGGGAAUCUUCCGCAAUGGACGAAAGUCUGACGGAGCAACGCCGCGUGAGUGAUGACGGCCUUCGGGUUGUAAAGCUCUGUUAAUCGGGACGAAAGGCCUUCUUGCGAAUAGGGAGAAGGAUUGACGGUACCGGAAUAGAAAGCCACGGCUAACUACGUG
rnacentral:rRNA from 1 species